rnacentral:rRNA from 1 species
AUUGAACGCUAGCGGGAUGCCUUACACAUGCAAGUCGAACGGCAGCACGGACUUCGGUCUGGUGGCGAGUGGCGAACGGGUGAGUAAUGUAUCGGAACGUGCCUAGUAGCGGGGGAUAACUACGCGAAAGCGUAGCUAAUACCGCAUACGCCCUACGGGGGAAAGCAGGGGAUCGCAAGACCUUGCACUAUUAGAGCGGCCGAUAUCGGAUUAGCUAGUUGGUGGGGUAACGGCUCACCAAGGCGACGAUCCGUAGCUGGUUUGAGAGGACGACCAGCCACACUGGGACUGAGACACGGCCCAGACUCCUACGGGAGGCAGCAGUGGGGAAUUUUGGACAAUGGGGGAAACCCUGAUCCAGCCAUCCCGCGUGUGCGAUGAAGGCCUUCGGGUUGUAAAGCACUUUUGGCAGGAAAGAAACGUCAUGGGCUAAUACCCCGUGAAACUGACGGUACCUGCAGAAUAAGCACCGGCUAACUACGUGC